rnacentral:misc_RNA from 2 species
AACGCACCUUGCGCUCCUUGGUAUUCCGAGGAGCAUGUCUGUUUGAGUGUCAUUAAAUUCUCAACCUUAUUAGCUUUUGCUGAUAAUGGCUUGGACUUGGGGGUCUUUUGCUGGCUUUCAUUAGUCUGCUCCCCUUAAAUGUAUUAGCUGGCGCCCCGCAGUGGACCGUCUAUUGGUGUGAUAAUUAUCUACGCCGUGGAUGUCUGCUUUCAAUGGGUCUUUGCGCUGCUUCAAACCGUCCUCGGACAAUACAAAUGACAAUUUGACCUCAAAUCAGGUAGGACUACCCGCUGAACUUAA